GAUUUGUCAGCACAGCACACACGUGAUUGGGGUUCUGUGACAAAGCCUGAAUUUCGCCUGGCCAACAAGUGUCAAGAAUAAACUUCUCCUUUCCAGUUUCCGGCAUAUAAGGGAUGAGGGAGCAGAAGGCAAGCUGAGGACAAAGCAGAAGCUGACGCCUCCCAACCUCCCAUCCAAGGUGGGAGCCUGCGACAUUCCUCAAGCACCCCUGGCCACCCUAAAACAAAGACAGAGGGAAAUGCAGGUAAAAUGAAAUCUCCUUAGAACUUGCAAACCAUUGACAAAUACUAGGUCGGGUAACAAUCUUUCAGGAAACUUCCAACUGUAUUAACGUUAAUGUCUUGCUAGAGGGGGAGCCGACUUCAGCUUGACAACAGCAAGGCCUCUGGUAUCCUCAAAGACAUCUUAAGAUUAUUUUCUUGGCUGUCAGCUCCAGACCUCACCAACAUUCCAAAACUGCAUCAUAGGGAGCCUGGAAGUCACCACUCUUAACAAGUACAGUGCUGAACAGACCGAAGAAUCAGCAACUCUUUUUGGGUCCUAAAGAGAGGGAAGGACACAGGGUAAACCUCCUUCCCCCAGAUUGGAAAGAAGUCGAAUCUGGGGAGUCAUGGCUUACCAGAGAUUCCCACGCAGAAACUGCCACCAGAACAAACACAGGGGCUUCGGGGAAACCUGAACUGGAGCAGACAGAGUGCUGGAGGCUCCGUGUGGACCCGUCAGGGCUCCAGACUCCAGGGGAACCCGGUGGCAGGGCGCCCACAGGAUUGUGAGAUUUACCUCCAGGAAUCGUGCCAGAUUCUCACAGUAAAUAAUGGGAAAAAAUCCCUCCUACUUCAAGCAGAGGGAGGGCAAAGGAACCCUUUGGAAGCUUGCCAGAGCCUUGGGUUCCAGGACUAGCACCUGGCCUCGGGGACACUGAUUAACCUAGGCCCAAGCCCGGGUAGGGGUAGCCUCACCCCCCGGGGAGGGAAACACCCAACCCCAGCCCACUCGAGCCUCCUGUCCCACCCAUGUGGGAGGAAAAACAAACCUGACUUGUGAGAUCUGCCGUCCAGGGGCGAAGGCUCACGAGGAGACUGAGCUCUAGCCAGAGGCCUAGUGCCUGCUUCUCCUCCCCACAUAGGUUAUGCCACGUCGCAAAAGUCCUAAGUGAGCACUUCCUUCUACUGGUAAGUUCUGUCCAGCUGCCAAGAAAGACGUACCAGGCCUGUCGGGGCACCCGGGUGGCUCAGUCUGUUAAGCCUUGGACUCUUGACCUGGGCUCAGGCCGUGAUCUCAGCGUCCUGAUGCUGAGGGACCAGAAGGCCGGCUGAGGGCAAAGCAGAGCUGACACCUCAGGACCCCCCGCCCCAGGCUCGGGUGGCACUGCCUCCGGCCCCCUAAAGCCAAGGAAAGGAAAAGCAAGUAGUUAACUUCUAGAGGUCCCGGCCUGCGAGACCCGAGUCUCCCUCAGGUUAUAAAUCUCAGCAAUUGAGAAGAACGAAGCAUUUUUGUCAAGAACCGGGUUGCCCCAAGGAAACGGAGGUACCGUCCUGUGUCCCUACAGCCUGCUGCCCACUGAUGGGGACUGGGGGGCAGAGAGAUGGCCCUCCGGGAAGCUCCCAGCUGCCUCAAUGAGGCAAAAGUAAAACCAACCUUCAUUUGACCAAGGCAAGGCCUCUGGUAUCUCGUAGGUCCUCUAACACAGGAAAAUCCCUUUGAAACCCCCCUUUUCCUGUCCUCCCCCAACUCCCCAGUGUAUAAUCAGCCUCCCCUCAAUGGCUGGGAUCAAGCCCACGUCAGGCUCCAUGCUGGGAGUGGAGUCUGCUUUAGAUUCCCUCUCUCUGUCUCUGUCCCCCUCUGCCCCUUGGCCCUGUCUCCCUCCCUCUAAAAGAAAAAGAGACAAAAAACAAACAGAAAAAAAAAAAAAAAGUAUUACCAGACCCACCAAAAGGCAAACCACAGUGCUUGAAUAGACAGAGCAAGCACCAAAACAACACGGGAGGCGUGUUAGAAUGGUCAGACCGGACAUUUCGGGUAACCACGCUGGACACGCUGAGGGCUCUAGCGGGCGAGGUAGUCGGCGUGCAAGAGCAGGUGGGCAGCGGGAGCAGAAACAUGGAACUCCUAAGCAAACGACAGACUUUUUUUUGUUGUAAAGAUAAUUCCUCAUCGUUGACAAAAGUAAUAGAUGUUGGUGAAUCAAUGACAUAGGCAAUGAGGCUUCUGGAAAUCAUAUUACUUGAGAAAUGAUCGAUAUAGAGAAGACACACAGAGUUACAGGACGUUACCAGCAACAUUUUCCGACCAGGAAGUCUCAUUCGUUAUUUUUUCCAACAUUUGUUAACACUGAAGCCGGAGAGCGAGGUUCUUGUCCCGUGGAGUCAGUCCAAGGAUGAACCUCGGGACACAGGAGGCUGAGGAAAGCGCUGGGAGUUUAUUAAGCAAGGAUAAGAGAAAGCUCUCAGGAGGGAGAGGGGUCCUGGCGGGGUUGCCCACGUGGGCCCCACGGACGGUCUUUUAUGUGGAGCUGACCGGGGGGCUUGUGGCCUUCUCAUCCUUGUGAUGGCUUCGUGUGAGUAAGGACUCGUGAUACCAUCUUUAAUGGCUUCUUUUCUAGGUCUGGUGAUUCUUUGUUGGUCAUGGGCGACUCUCAUAAAACAAAAAGAAAACAAACCAAACACCCUCCCCACACCUAGGGAGGGGUGGUCCCGUUUGUCCCCUUAUCUCCGGCUUCCUUACACCUCAGCAUUUUGGGGACUUCCAUGAGCCUGAUCCUGUAGCCCCGUCUCUCCCUACCUUGCCCUGCCUGUCCCUUACUCAAUAAUGUUAAUAUUGACUCACUUUUAGAACAGGACUCACUUUUAAAAUCACACCCUAAAACUUUGUGCUCUUUGGCUAUCAUCAUUAUUCUCAAACUGGAAAAUUACAACUAUGUUGAUACCCAAACUUGGGGGAAAAAUAAUUUUGAGUUUAUUUUUUUAAGUUUAAUUUUUUAAAGAUUUAUUUAUUUAUUUAUUAUGAUAGACAGAGAGGGAGAGAGAGAGAGAGGCAGAGACACAGGC